rnacentral:rRNA from 1 species
GACGAACGCUGGCGGCGUGCUUAACACAUGCAAGUCGAACGGGAGUAUUGAAGAAGCUUGCUUUAGAGAUACUUUAGUGGCGGACGGGUGAGUAACGCGUGAGGAGCUGUCCUAUGCAGGGGGACAACAGCUGGAAACGGCUGCUAAUACCCCAUAAGCCGAGAGGUAAAAGGAUCAAUCCGGCAGAGGAGGUACUCGCGUCCUAUCAGCUAGUAGGUGAGGUAACGGCUCACCUAGGCGAAGACGGGUAGCCGGCCUGAGAGGGCGAACGGCCACACUGGAACUGAGAUACGGUCCAGACUCCUACGGGAGGCAGCAGUGGGGAAUAUUGGGCAAUGGGGGAAACCCUGACCCAGCGACGCCGCGUGGGUGAAGAAAUCCUUCGGGAUGUAAAGCCCUGUUGUAUGGGAAGAGCGGAAGACGGUACCAUACGAGGAAGCCCGGCGAAACUAACGUG